AACAAAAUUAACCGGUUGGAAGUCAUGUUGCGAGCUUUCUUGUUGUAUAUCUCAUGCUCAGUUAACCUGUUUAUGCUAAAAUAAUAGUUAAGCUUUCUAUAUCCAGCCCAAUCACAUGUGUACACAUGACAGAUUCAUUCACCUUCAAAUGGAACUUCUAAACACUUUCCAAAUUCUUCCAUUGUUAACAAAAUCUCUUUUCCUUUUAUAGUAGAAGAGACAAUACAACCCUUUCCAAUAGACACAUUAGCAUAAAAAGCCUUAACCAAAUUAUGGUAUAUGGGUCCAGAGUCAGCAAUCAAAACAUCAAACCCUUGAAAGUGAAAUAAUGCUGGAAAAUUAAAACUUGAAGAGAGAAAUGUUGAUAAAUUACCAUACUUUGGUGGAGUUUGAGAAUGAUUUUUGAAGCUGAGCAACAAUCUCUUCUCCC
rnacentral:lncRNA from 1 species